GGCUCCUUCCCUCCGGAGGACGCUUGGGGCUGCAGGGUCAGGAGGGAGCUGGUGCCCCCCAGGCCAGCCAGUUCGGCCCUAUCGAGCUGGAAACGGGGACAGGUUUCCCCGGCCCAGGGUCUGGCGUGGGACUGGGAGCAUCCCCUGCACCGUGGUGCACCGCGCUCGCUGCGCCUUGCCUUGCCUUGCCUUGCCCUGGGAGGGCAGCAGCAGGAGCACGCCCGCACCACCGCACACGUGCUUGUCACAGGGACAGCGACCUCGGAAAUAAAAUGCCUUAUAUGCACAGGUACACGCAGUGAAUGAAACAGUAAUGCCUAACAAACAGAAAUACAAACACCCUCAACUGCAGACACCGGGCUCAUUGCAAAGCAGACGGAGGCAAAACCCACGCGCUCCAGACUGGGGUAAUCGCGGUGUGAAGACGUCUGCCCCCCCAGAGAACGCUAUUAAAAUUUACAACGAUAGAGACGUCAGAACAGAUGACCACGGGGAUGAGCCACACGACCGCAGCCGGCUCUGUGGAAAGAGCGUUCAGGACGUGUCCCGUGCAGCUUUGUCAUGGGGGAGUGAGCUGCCCAACGACAGUGCAUUACAGGCUACUUGUAUUUCUUUCUACUCAGACAUUGACGUGACAAAUACAUGAUGUAUCAUUGUUGUUUCAGACAGCUGGGUAGGGCUGACUUCAUUACUCGGCAGCAAAGAGCUUCUGCAGCUCCUCUCCUGCAAUCAGUUACAUCCCAUAGCUCCUGGUGCUGUUUAUUCCUUAUGCUUUAAGGGAGAAGAGAGAAAGCAUAGUCUUCUGUCUUAGAUGAUUUACAGUGAGACUAAUAUUACUAUAAAUUUUAAUCUAAUAUUAAGGAAAAUUGUUCAUAUGUUAGGCGUGUUGGUUUGCUGUUCAUAGGCUUUGGUAAGACAGAAAAACAUUUUAAAACCUGUAAAGGUUUUGCAAAAAUUAUUUGUCUGGGAGUUGCCCUAUUUCUAAGUUCUGUCUCAGACUUGCAGAGCUCAGUGAAACACAGCAACGCUGUGUUAUACACAACGCAGCCAAGGCCUGUUUUCUGCUGCUGUGUUUUUCUUGCUCUUUCUAAGAGCCGAUUUAGCUAACCUUCAGGUAUACGUAGCUAGAGAGAAAAAAAUCCCAGCUCCUCAAAUAUUAUGCAAUUUUUAUUUCCAGCCCUUUUAUCUAACAGAUCUAGGACUGACGUGGCCUUUCCAGAGCCUUGGACCCGCUGGAACAUCCCCUAAAUCAGAAGCUGCAGAAGAACAAACAGCGACAACGCGGCAGGUUGCAGCCCACAGAGGA